UAUGUUGACCGGCCAGCUAAUGGAAGCAUCAAGGGAAGUCUCACUGGUAUAAGCAUUGGAACUGUGACUCAAACUCAGAAAAUUUGGAGGAGUUUCCAAGCUCUCGGAGACAUCGCUUUCGCCUACUCGUUUUCCAUCAUCCUUAUCGGAAAUUCAGGACACAGUGAAAUCGCCACCAUCAGAGGCGAAAACAAUGAAGAAAGCCACUUUAAUAAGCACAAUCGUAACCACAGCUUUCUACAUGCUCUGCGGUUGCAUGGGGUACGCAGCGUUUGGCGACCACGCGCCGGGAAACCUCCUAACCGGGUUCGGAUUCUACAACCCAUACUGGCUCCUCGACAUAGCCAACGCCGCCAUCGUGAUCCACCUAGUCGGCGCCUACCAGGUCUACUGCCAGCCGCUCUUCGCCUUCGUGGAGAAACGCGCCGCCGAGAAGUGGCCGGACAGCGGGUUCAUCGCCGGCGAGAUCCGAAUCCCGAUCCCCUUCUGCCAGCAGCCCUUCAGGCUGAACACGUUCCGCCUGGUGUGGAGGACGGCGUUCGUGGCGGCGACCACCGUGAUAUCGAUGCUCCUCCCGUUCUUCAACGACGUGGUGGGGAUCCUCGGGGCGCUAGGGUUUUGGCCGCUGACGGUGUACUUCCCGGUGGAGAUGUACAUCGCGCAGAAGAAGAUUCCGAGGUGGAGCACGAGGUGGGCUUGUCUGCAGAUGCUGAGUUUCGCGUGUCUCGUGAUCUCGAUCGCGGCGGCGGCCGGUUCCAUCGCCGGAGUGGUUCUUGAUCUCAAGGUUUACAGGCCGUUCAAGACAAGCUACUGAUGAUCAAUAAAUUAAAUUAAAUAAUUAAUAUUUUGUGUUUGUUGUACAUUAGAAUUUGGUGCUGUGGUUGGUGUUGUUUUUGAUGAAAUAAAUUGAUAAUCUUUUGUGUUUUGCUUUUCAUGUUACUAUUGUUGUACUUGUUAUUACAAUGUAUAAUCAAGGCUAAGGACUUUUUAUUUUUCAGUUUU